rnacentral:rRNA from 1 species
AGAGUUUGAUCCUGGCUCAGGAUGAACGCUGGCGGCGUGCCUAAUACAUGCAAGUCGAACGCUUCACUUCGGUGAAGAGUGGCGAACGGGUGAGUAAUACAUAAGUAACCUGGCAUCUACAGGGGGAUAACUGAUGGAAACGUCAGCUAAGACCGCAUAGGUGUAGAGAUCGCAUGAACUCUAUAUGAAAAGUGCUACGGGACUGGUAGAUGAUGGACUUAUGGCGCAUUAGCUUGUUGGUAGGGUAACGGCCUACCAAGGCGACGAUGCGUAGCCGACCUGAGAGGGUGACCGGCCACACUGGGACUGAGACACGGCCCAGACUCCUACGGGAGGCAGCAGUAGGGAAUUUUCGGCAAUGGGGGAAACCCUGACCGAGCAACGCCGCGUGAGCGAAGAAGGCCUUCGGGUCGUAAAGCUCUGUUGUAAAGGAAGAACGGCGCAUACAGGAAAUGGUAUGCGAGUGACGGUACUUUACCAGAAAGCCACGGCUAACUACGUGCCAGCAGCCGCGGUAAUACGUAGGUGGCGAGCGUUAUCCGGAAUGAUUGGGCGUAAAGGGUGCGUAGGUGGCAGAUCAAGUCUGGAGUAAAAGGUAUGGGCUCAACCCGUACUGGCUCUGGAAACUGAUCAGCUAGAGAACAGAAGAGGACGGCGGAACUCCAUGUGUAGCGGUAAAAUGCGUAGAUAUAUGGAAGAACACCGGUGGCGAAGGCGGCCGUCUGGUCUGGAUUCUGACACUGAAGCACGAAAGCGUGGGGAGCAAAUAGGAUUAGAUACCCUAGUAGUCCACGCCGUAAACGAUGAGUACUAAGUGUUGGGUGUCAAAGCUCAGUGCUGCAGUUAACGCAAUAAGUACUCCGCCUGAGUAGUACGUUCGCAAGAAUGAAACUCAAAGGAAUUGACGGGGGCCCGCACAAGCGGUGGAGCAUGUGGUUUAA